AGAGUUUGAUCAUGGCUCAGAACGAACGCUGGCGGCGUGCCUAACACAUGCAAGUCGAACGCGAAAAGCAGUAAUGCUGAGUAGAGUGGCGCACGGGUGAGUAACACGUAACUGACAUGUCCUAGAGACAAGGAUAACCAUUCGAAAGGAUGGCUAAUACUUGGUAAGCCCACGGCCUUGGGGUUGUGGGAAAAGGGUCGGGACCUUUCGAGGCCGAUCGCUUUGGGAGUGGGUUGCGGCCCAUCAGGUAGUUGGCGGGGUAACGGCCCACCAAGCCUAAGACGGGUAGCUGGUCUGAGAGGAUGAUCAGCCACACUGGAACUGAGACACGGUCCAGACUCCUACGGGAGGCAGCAGUGGGGAAUCUUGCGCAAUGGGAGAAAUCCUGACGCAGCAACGCCGCGUGGGUGAUGAAGGUCUUCGGAUCGUAAAGCCCUGUCGGAGGGGAAGAUGCUUUCUGUCGCUAAUAUCGGCAGGAGGUGACGGUACCCUCAAAGGAAGCACCGGCUAACUCUGUGCCAGCAGCCGCGGUAAUACAGAGGGUGCAAGCGUUGUUCGGAAUUAUUGGGCGUAAAGGGAGUGUAGGCUGUUCCUUAAGUCUUCUGUGAAAUCUACGGGCUUAGCCUGUAACGUGCAGAGGAAACUGGGGGACUUGAGUGUCGGAGAGGGUAGCGGAAUUCCCGGUGUAGAGGUGAAAUUCGUAGAGAUCGGGAGGAACACCAGUGGCGAAGGCGGCUACCUGGCUGACAACUGACGCUGAGACUCGAAAGCAUGGGGAGCAAACAGGAUUAGAUACCCUAGUAGUCC
rnacentral:rRNA from 1 species